CUUCUAUCUAUCUAACUAGAUCCAUUAGAGAUAUACUACUUCUCCAGAAGAUGCAAUAAUCCACCAACUAUUACUUUACUACUACUAACCAACAUUUUUGUUACUAGCUGCUGCAUGCGGCAAGUUUUUUUCCUCAAUAAGAUCCUCGCCAUCACAUCACCAACCUUACUUCUACUACGUCUACUGGUCGGCGAGACGGCGAACAGGCCACCAUGCCAGAGACAGAGAAAGACUGAGGCAUGCUAAUGCAUUAGCAUGCCUCACAAUGCUUUACUACUCGUCGUAAAAAAGAUGGGACUAAAAUAUAGUUUGUGGCCAUGAAAUGUGCAUGAAAUGAAGGUAAUAAUGUAUCCAAUGAAAUAGUUUUGCCGUAUUUAUACCGUAGAUUGAGUUAGGACGGAACCACGCCCCCACUGCUGCCCUGCUUUUCGGUCAGAUUUAUUAUUUGGAGAUGAUAUAUUUUCAAAGAAACUGAAAUUCUGGAUGUAGUUUAUGACCAUUAAAAGGCACCAUCACAAAAUACGUGCACGGCAUUCUCAACAUGAAUGGCAUACAAAUGUACGACGUAGUUGAAGAUUUGGUUGCCGGACACAUAGAGAAACGAGUGGUCGGCUCUAGCUCUUUGAAAAGCGAAGGUGGGAUGUGUGCCGCUCAAUGGUUCGUCUCACGGGAGGCAAAUUAAUUAUGAAGGACCGUUCCUCUCUUUGUUCAAAUUUUUUUUGACUAUUUUCGAAUUGUGAAAUUUAUUUUCGAAAUUUGUCUCAAAAAUGUCUCAACUUUUAUAUUAUUUUAAUAAAGGUGGAAUAUCAUCAUUGUCGUCGCUGGACUUCGUCACGACCAUCUCGCACACGUCUUUCCUACACUCUCAAAAAUGUACCAUACUUCUCGAAAAGUAAAAAAGAAUGUAACCCUGAACUGAGCAUACGAAGGUAUUUUAAAAGUAAAUCCAGUUGCUCUCGCAUUAGUAAGCGAUCCUUUUAACUCUGAAAGAACCAUACUUGAGAAUAACUUAAAAAUGAGUCCACGUCUACUCCAAUUAAAGUUAAUCGAACUUCAUUCCGAGUAAGCCUGUCGCAAUUCGCCCGCCCUUCUUGAUUUCUACCUUGGAGUUUGUUAGUCUAUUCCAGACUUACAUACACAUUUCCCUCGUGAAUUCCGAAAUUUAAAUUCCCAUUUCAAAAGUUUCAAAAAUGUGUGAUACGGAAAUCCAAAGAUUAUUAUUUCCACUUAAUCUUGGAAAAUACUGUUAAUUGUUUAAAGAUAAUAAUCUAACCGGAUUCUUUACAACACCUUCAAAAAGAUGACCUCAUCCACGUCGUCCCACCUUUUCAACCUAAUCUUCCACCCAUUGUCAAGGACAAAUUGAUUGAACAAAUUAUGCAGAAUAUUUAACUCUGUUUCUCAGGUUAUUUAGUGUUAAUAUCUCAUUUUUUGCCAUGCUGUAAUAUUAUUUUUAACCUACAUACAUAUGACAGUAAUUGGAUUGUAAAACUUAAUAGUUGUGAAAUAAUAAAUAAUCAAUUACAUAAAUAUA